UAUUGGCACUGCAGAGCCAGUUGCUUUCGCUCUGCAGUUGAGCUCCGCUCAACCUUCCUGCCUCUCUGGACAAGGGAAAGGUCUGGAAGCCUACAGCGCUCUGAGCUUCAGGGGACACAGCUUCCAGGACACAGAGAAUCUUGGCUCCUUGGCAUCUUCACAGCUAUCUCUCAAAGCAUCAGCUGCUGAGGACUUGGGGACUCUGAAAGCUUGGGAGUCCAGUUAAUGCUGCCUGCUGGAAUCAUGAAUGGCCUUGUUGACUGAUUGUGGGCAGGUAAUGACACUACAGGAAGCCAUGAGUGCAGUGGCCCUGUCAUGCCUGGAAGACAGCAUCAGGAAGCCAUCAGUGCAGCGGCCCCAUCAUGCCCGGAAGACA